GUCUACAGCCAUGCCACCCUGAAUAUGUCCAAUCUUGUCUGAUCUCAGAAGCUAAGCAAGGUCAGGCCUGGUUAGUACUUGGAUGGGAGACCACCUAGGAAGACCCGGUGCUGCAGGAG
rnacentral:rRNA from 1 species